GACGAACGCUGGCGGCGUGCUUAACACAUGCAAGUCGAACGGAAAGGCCCUGCUUUUGUGGGGUGCUCGAGUGGCGAACGGGUGAGUAACACGUGAGUAACCUGCCCUUGACUUUGGGAUAACUUCAGGAAACUGGGGCUAAUACCGGAUAGGAGCUCCUGCUGCAUGGUGGGGGUUGGAACGUUUCGGCGGUUGGGGAUGGACUCGCGGCUUAUCAGCUUGUUGGUGGGGUAGUGGCUUACCAAGGCUUUGAAGGGUAGCCGGCAUGAGAGGGUGACCGGCCACAAUGGGACUGAGAUACGGCCCAGACUGCUACGGGAGGCAGAAGGGGGGAAUAUUGCACAAUGGGAGGAAGCCUGAGGCAGCAACGCCGCGUGCGGGAUGACGGCCUUCGGGUUGUAAACCGCUUUCGCCUGUGACGAAGCGUGAGUGACGGUAAUGGGUAAAGAAGCACCGGCUAACUACGUG
rnacentral:rRNA from 1 species